rnacentral:lncRNA from 1 species
GAGAUUUGGGGCAAACUGGAGGUGCUUUGUCAACUGCUGGAGAUUUGGGGCGAAUGGGUGUUGCUUUGUCAACUGCUGGAGAUUGGGAACGAACUGGAGCUGCUUUGUCUACAGCUGGAGAUUUUGGACGAACUUGAGUUGUUUUGUCAAUUGCUGGAGAUUUGGGGCGAACUGCCGGUGCUUUGUUUAUGGGUGGAGAUUUGGGAGGAACUGGAGUCACUUUAUCAACCAAAGGCAGUUUUGGGGGAACUGAAGCAGCUCUAUUGAUUCGCGGUGAUUUUGAAGGAAGAGGGGCAUCUUUAUCCACAUCAACUGCUG